rnacentral:rRNA from 1 species
UACGUAGGGAGCGAGCGUUGUCCGGAUUUAUUGGGCGUAAAGCGCGCGUAGGCGGUUUGGUAAGCCGGGUGUGAAACCCUCGAGCUCAACUCGGGGCGGCCACUCGGAACUGCUAUGACUUGAGUCUGGUAGGGGAACACGGAAUACCUGGUGUAGCGGUGAAAUGCUUAGAUAUCAGGUGGAACACCAGUGGCGAAGGCGGUGUUCUGGGCCAGUACUGACGCUGAUGCACGAAAGCGUGGGGAGCAAACAGG